GACAGAGGUGCAAAGCGUUAGGCGGAAUCACUGGGCUUAAAGCGUGUGUAGGUGGAUGCCUAAGUACCUUGUGAAAUCCCACGGCUCACCCGUGGAACUGCUUGGUAUACUGGGUGUCUUGAGCCACUUAGGGGUCGCUGGAACAAACGGUGGAGCGGUGAAAUGCGUAGAUAUCGUUUGGAACGCCAAUGGUGAAAACAGGCGACUGGGAGUGUGCUGACACUGAGACACGAAAGCCAGGGGAGCGAACGGG
rnacentral:rRNA from 1 species